AAGAGAGAAAGAAAGAAAGAAGAGUGAGGUAAGCUAGAGAGGGAGGGAGGUGGUGUCCAGGUGUAUGAUAGUCUGUGCUAUCUGGGGUCAAUGCUACAGCUGAUGCUAUCCUGACACUUGUCUAAAAGGCACACACUGCCGGUGAUGAGUUGUUCAUCUCUGAGAACUCAAGCUGGGAGCCAUUGCCAACACUGUUUGGAAUGAAGAAGGGAGAGAAGUUAUUGGGUUUUGCACAGUGUCACGGGCAUUCUGAUAGACAGAAACACAAGACUCAGGGAACAUACGCUGAAGAAUGUUUGUCCAGACUUGAAAAAGAAGGUGUUUGAAAGAUCACUUUGUGAGUCAGAUUGGAAUUUCCAAAUUCUGAAGAGAAGGCUUGAACCCUACACUGCUGAUCUCAGCAAUGUACAUAAAGAGGACCUUCAGGCACACUACUGUCCCUCAAGACAUUCCUGGACAAAUUAACUUUUGAAAGUUAACUAAUCUCAACUGAGUUUCUCAGUAAUUGGUUCUGAGAUCUAGAAAGUGGGUUUUGGUAAAGUUGAGGCCCAUAGGUUUCUCUCACGAUUGGCUGCCCAGGUAGAGUGGUAAGUGAGAACAAUAACAUUUUUUGUGACACUGCACAUGCUGUCCAGGUGUGCGAACACAAACCUUUGCACUUCUGGCCUUACACACACACACACACACACACACACACACACACACACACACACACACACACACCCAUCUGAUUUCUAAAACAAUGCUGUGAACUGAAAUUGAAGCAAGAUGUUGGGCACCAGGGAGACUUUCAUUUUCCUCGACUUUAAACAUCUAACCUGUAACAAGCAGGCAUCAUUCGAGCUGGGCUACUCUAUGAGACAGGUUGUUUGCUUUGGUGGGUGGUCGGUGCCCAUAAUAAAACUGGUUUGAGGUGUCAACUUGUCAGGACUGCAUGGUACCCUUUACUUAACCAGUAACCUGUAGCGAAUUGCUGUACAGCUAUUUUGCACAUAAGCGUGGAUCUAAAUUGGGAAACUGAAAUUAAAGAAGCCCCUGUUUAUGCAGUUCUUGUGUAAACUCAAGAUCAGGAUCUGGGUCUAUUUUAUGAGAACAUCACUUCUUCUUUUCUAGAAGAUAUGUUUUAAGCAAUGUUUAUUGAGCUGGAUGAAUGGGUGAUAGGGAAAGAGAGGCUAUGCUUGCUCUCAUGUAAGAUGAAUGAACUGAGAACAGCUACCCACAGCAGGUUAUAGGAAAAAAGCUCUCCAGAAGCAGCACUUUGAACUUCUUGCUAUGGGGAGAUGAUAUAGACGGCAACUGGGAAGGCUGGGGGUUGUAGGAGUAGGAGGGAAGGAAUAGGAGCCCUUGCGAGAAGACAGCUGAACUCUCUAUGAGAGAGAGAAGGAAAAAGGAAAAAAUAGAUAACCAGGAGUAGAGACCUACCGUGUUGACAAAAAUUCUUCUGAGGAACCCUUAUUUUCUCUGGAAACAAAAAGGUAACAAACCAGCUCCAGGCACACUUGUGUGCGUAUGUUUGGCACUGACUGCAGCAGGCAGACAUGGAGGAGUCAGUGUCUGUCAAGGUGACUACCUUGGGUAGCUGCAUGCAGAAGAAAAGACAUGCUUAGCAGUAAGUCACCGAAUACCUAGAAGACUUGACCUUACGAAUGUGUGAAAAGUCUCUUCCGGUGCAGAGCUCCACACUUCCUUCUAGUGAAUAUUGGCUUGGCUUGGCUAGCUGUGUUAGGUUCUCCUGGGAUGAUUAAUUUUUCUAAACCCCUGUCCUUUCCUGAAAUAGAGGAUCGGGAGUAAAGAAGUGUGGGCUUGUCUUGAGCAGCUAGGGAAAUAGUUAUAUACCCAAAGAGAAUGAAAAGUCUCUUCCAUGCCGUUAGUAGAUGGCAGUGUGUGCUGUCAUCCCAAGUUUUCGAAACUAAUCCUACCCCUCAGACAUUGCUUCAAGUUCCCCAAAGCUGUAACAGUUGAACAGUUGCCAAGUCCUGCAGGUUCUUUGUGGCUGAGAGAAAACACUUCCUUAUCUGAAUGCACCCUGACUCAAGAAAGACCUCUUUGGGGCUAGUGAGAUGGCUCAGCCAGUAAAGGUGUUUCCUGACAAGCCUACAGCUUGUGUUCUAUCUCAGGUCUCCACAAGAUGAAAGAUUCUCUAAAGCUGGAGGUACCAGGAGCAGGGCCUGUUUCUAACUGCAGAGCCACCCCCCCAACCUUUAGGAAAAGAUAUUAUUUUUAUUAUGUUUCCAUUAUGUGUAAAUGUGUGUGUAUGUGCCUGUGCGUGCAGAGAUCAUGUGCUUUCAAGAAAGAAAGAUCUAGAUCUCAGUUCUGACCUAUCACUUGUUAACCUGCUGUCUUGAGCAAGCCCAGGCUCUUCCCUGAGCUGUCCUUGCAAUCUAUGAGGAGUGAUGCCUGCAGAGACAGUAGGUGGUAGAUCACAGAUCCAGAGGACGCAGCAUAGUGCCUGCACCUAGAGAUAGUCAUUACUAGUUCCUUUCCUCUCUUGCUGUCAGAGGCAGACCUGUAGGGCUUUGGAAAUAUCUCAUGCUAGACACCAGACCCUGGAAGUGUGAAGAUCAGAGUACAGUUGGGGGAAAUCUGUUGUGGCUGCCUCUGCUGGUGAAAUGAGUCAGAUGACCACCAUGUCCUCAGCUCACUUCAUAGACAGUGAAGAAAGGGAUGAGAAAUGUACACAGACGACUGAGUGUCACUCUUGGUCCUUGUCAACAGCCCCGGAUGAGAGGAAGUCAAGACAAUAAGCUCAGAUCCAGUGAGUUCUAUUGCCUGUUCUCUAUUUCAAGGGGACAGUCCCUGCUUUGUUUCUCUUCUCUCCAGUGAAACACUUCCCUGAAAUUCUCCUGGUUUCUGAGAACAGCUCUAGAAUCAGCCCACAAUGAUCAGAAGCAAGCAGAACCCAUCCUGUCCCUUGGAUCCUGCUGUCGCAAGGAUGUGGGAGUAGAAAGGGACACUAAGAAGGCCCCCUUCCUUCCUCUAUGACAUUCUCCUAGCAAUGUUUCAUUUUCAUCCUUCUAUAGGCUAAGCACUAUGUGGAGAGGAACAGGGAGGCAGGGUGUGCAUGAGGGAUCUUUCCCUGUCCCAGCAGUAAUUUCUGUUUUUCCAGAAGGUGCCAGAGUCUCCUUGACCUCCACCACCUUCCCAUGUGGUGGUCUGAUACUAGGAUUUUACCUGUCUCCAAAAGGCAGCUCUGAGCUGGCUUCAAUUUCUACUCCCUGCUGAGCUGCCUGUGCUGGGAAAACCUGUGCCUAGGAAGGUGCCUGUCAACCCUGGUGGCUGGAUUUAAACAGUGACGGUGAGCUGUGUGACUGUACUCAGGUUAUCUCACAAAGUGACAUCCCCAUAGGUUUAUGCAAGAGAAAGCUCAGAGAACUGAGUUCUGGAUUCUCACAGCCAUUUGCUGUUCUUGGCAGUCUUCAGGGGUAAUAGCCAGGCUCAGUAUCCUGACAUGUUUGUUAUUAGCUCAUUCUCCCUCUUACUAUCUUUAAUAUAUGUCACAGGGAAUCCUGUCUUCAACUCUGAGUCGAUUUCUACAUAACCAGAUUUUGAUUUUUUUUAAAUGGGAGAAGGAAGUGUUUUAAACUAAGAAAGCUUUCCUUCAGGUCUCACAACAUCCCCCAUUAUCUUCAGAAGUCAUAUUUUCAAGACCCCAGGAUACGGCAAGAACUGCAGGAAGCGCCAAAUGAACCCAGCAUGUGUUGUUUGUUCCUAUGGUCAUGUACCUGUGAUGAAAUUUUAUUUAAGAGUUAGGCACAGCCGGAGAUCGGCAGCAGUGAAUGAUAGAAUAGAAUCGUUUCUGUAGUAAGUGAGGUGGGGGUUACUUGAAGACAGGCACUGUGAUAGCCCAGUAUCCAAUCUCACAGCCCAGAGGGCGUCUGAGGAAAUAAUGGGCAGGUAGAUCAUAAAUCAUGGAUCUGCAGAAUGAGCAGACUCACCCCAGGCAGGAGGGGUCGGGAUGCAACAUCGUCAUCACCAUACUCAAAAGGCCAUAUGACUAUAAGCUUAUAAAUUUUCCCCUCUGUGGAAUUUUCACUUUAUUACUUUUGGACCAGGUUGACUAAGGAUAACUGAAACCUUUAAAAAAAACCCGAAACUACAGAUGUGGGGGAGGAGGAAGGGCAUACCAUAUUACCAUGGAAGGGAAGUCAACCAGAACCUUCCAAUGUGCUUUCUGUUCUGGUUCCCUACUGAUAGCAGAAGUUCUGGAUUCUUAGCUCUCUCAUACUGACCAUCUGCUAUGAACUAGGCCACGUGAGGCAUGCUGAGGUCAUGUGACACAUGCUGUAGAAGGCCAAUUGCAAUUUUCUCAUUGUUUUGCCUGUGUCACGUCAUUUAAUCCAUAUAAGUAGCUUAUAGGGCAUGUGCACUUUGCAUUCUAAUUCCUAAGUGAAGCAACUGAGACACGAGAGAUUAAGUAAUUUGUCCCAAGGUCACAAGAUAGAGCUAGAACUUGGAACGAGUAUUCUAGCUCACUCAUAACCACUCCAACAUAGCCUUUCUUAUUUACUCUAGCAGUAAUCUUAUGAGAUAGAAGAUUAAAGUGCCCCUUCUCCAGAUAAGAAAGCAAAGUUUUAGAGAAUAAUUUGUUGGUGAGACUGAUCCGGAUUCCUAGCUCAGUUCAACUCCAUAUGCUAUUAAGGACCCAUUUUGUGGCACUGUGGUGGGCACUGAGAGAAUGGCGCUGUUUAUUAUGAUAAGCUACAUGCAGAUAUUUUGCUUCUUUCUAUUUCUUGUAACUUAGUUACUUCGUGCUCAAGUGAUAGCACAGAUUUCACUUCACGUGCCUUGAGCAUCACGUGCCUUCAAGGUUAGCCAGGGAUUUCAACACUGUGCGCAUGUUCCGAGAGUCAGCAGAGGUUUAGGCAAGCCUAGACAAAGCAAAGGAAGCAGCUGAGCUCCUCCGAUGUUUCGGACUCAAGCUUAGGCAAUCGUUCACUGCUAUUUUCUCAUUGCAUUAGUGUUUAUUGGACAUCAGUUAGGUUUCUACAUUCUUAGUUGGGAGGAUAAAACAAGAGGAUUUAUAUAUGAAUUUGAGAUGCUCAUCGUUCCGUUAGGGAAGAAAACAAGGUAUUUCAAGUGUUAUCUUGAGAUUUUGAGACGCUGGUUAAAAGUUUCUGAGAUAAUUGAAUAGAACUUUAUAGGGACACAUAGUGAAGAUGCCAGAUAAGUAGUCUUAAAUGUACAUUCCAGAUGGAGAUGGAUAAAUCAUGAGGUAUUUCCUAAACAUAGACUAUAUACUAGGCCUUAGAUAGAAAAUACAUGUUUAUUUUAAUCGUUGCUCCAGAAUUCAGGAAGCAGAAAACAAAUACAGACCUGGAAAAAGAGUCAGUAUGGAAAGGCAGGAGGUAGGAGGCUGGCAUAUUUUGCUCACAGAACCAUGAAUUGAGCAAUGUAGGGGUGGGGCCAUAAGGGAGGCAAGGACAGACAGACAGACAGACAGACAGACAGACAGACACACACACACACACACACACACACACACACACACAAACACACACACCACCCAAAACCCAAACAAAACAAUAACAAAACAAUCAAUAAUGGAGUUUAGAAAAAGCCUGCCAGACCAGAAAGAAGGCAGGGUCAGAAUAUGCAAACACUGUGGACAUCAAACCACUUUGGAAGGUGAUUAUAAUGUUUUAAGUACAGGAAAAUAAAGUCCUUUACUGCAGGAGUGAAGAAAAGACUAGGAAAAAAAAAUGGUUAAAGGACCUGGCUGUCCUGGCAAUGAGAGAGAAAUGGACGGUGGUACAGUCCUGGUUCUCCCAAGCCAGCGGAUAGAGCAGGAAGGACUUGGAACCUGGUCUCUGUCUGACUCAAGAAGGAAUACCAAAAGUUUCAAGUGUUUAGCAUUUCUAUACACCCCUACUUAUAAAUGAAGGAACGGAACAGUUCACGGAGCAUAGGGGCAAGGAUUGAAGUUGUACUUUCUACAGCCUGCAUGGUAGAUGGUGAAGGUAGCUUUUUGGCUCCAAGCUGAGCCUCGGUGGUAGAAAAGUCCAGAUGUGGAGUGAGUCCUUGGCAGACAUUCCAACUGCAGCUCAGGUAAACAGAGCCAGCAGGCAUUCCCAGGAAGAGGCAGCUGUGUCCUGAAGGGCUUUUCUCUGACAGGCCUGGAAGCUGCUGCGUGAUCAGGCUUGAGGCAGGCAGCAGCUGGGGUUUGGGAGGACACAGGCAGGCACGUGGAUAGCCUCCUGUGGGGGUGCAUUGCUGCAGAUGAGGCAGCCAUGAGAACUAGUUUGUCUUCCUGGCUUCCUCCUCCACCCUUUGCUACAGAGGCUCAGUGCCACCGCCGAACCAGCUGCAGAAAGAUUGAUUCAGAGAUGAGGGCUACAGCUUUGAGCCGUGCAGGGGCAGCAGAAAAGGCGAACUGUGUGCCUCUUUGAAGGAAGCUGUUUGUUUAAGGAUCCAAACGUCAAACAACUUCAGCAGCAGACAACAGUGAUUUGGCUAGAACGAUGUAUGCCACUGAAUUAACAUCGAGAUGGGCUGAACAGAGCAAAUGUAGUAGAGACUCCUUUUUUCAAAGUUCAGUAUCUUCCUCUAUGGUCUCAAUUACAGGAGAUACAUUUGUGCACAAAUCAUUUAGGCAACAAUAUCUGGGUGUCUUUUUAGAGUCUACUGUAACCAAAAAGAAAGAAAGACCGGAACUAAAAUGCAAAGGACAAAAAGAAACUGUUUGGAGACAAGUCAGCUACAGUGUAAACUUUUCGUUUUCUCUCAUAGCAAAACCUGAUGGUUGUCUUUGUAAAAAAAAAAAAAAAGUGUCUGUAUCUAGGUCCCUGGCAGUGAUUUGCCUUUGGGAGGGCCAGCAAUCUAUUUAAUGACUCCAUUGACGUCAAUGGCAUAACUGAAAUACUUACUAACAUGCAUGAUUCCAGCUUUCAGGGGGAGGGGGUGGAUGGUGUCUCUCAGCAGUGGGAAAACACGAUGUGGAGUCUGCAAGGAAUGGACUUGGCUCUUUCUGCAAAUUCUGAGAGACUAGAAGCUGCUAGUCCCCCAGGUCGUGAUUACUAUGAGGAAAAACUUUUCCUACUAAAUGAAGAAAUUAAUUCUCAACAAGGAAAAGCGACCACUAAUAAGCAGGACCUUAUUUUUAGCUGUCUUUGCUCAAGGGAACAGUUUUAAGCAUUCUCACUUCAGCUGCCUUACUAAUGAUUUUGCAGUUACCCAUCCUUAAAUUUAGGCAUAUAUGAAAUAAUUGCAAGCCAGUGCAGGCAGCUUGGUGUCCAUGUUCUGGGGUAAGUGUUUACAGGAUGGCUAUUUUAGACAAAACAGGUUCUUUCAGACCAUUUGUGUAACUAUCUUGAAAAUUUCCCAGCUUUUCUAUUCUAUUCUAUGACUAUUCUAGUUCUAUUCUAUGACUUCAAUUUGUAUAUACAGGCUCUUUACAUACAGUGUGUAACUGAGUACCUUGCCCCAGCAUUUCAGGUUACACACAUCAUACCGAACACUGAAGAAAAUGUCUGCUCUUUAAUUUUCCCCUUUUCUCUGUGUAAUUUCCUUCAGGACCUCCUUUGUCCUGAGUGGUCAGGGCCUUGAUAAGAUGGUUGAUCUUAUUUCUGUUUGCCCAUGUGUUGUAAUCCUGCCUGACAGUUCUUGCUUAAUGCAGAAACCAAGCAAAGGUUCAGUUUGUACUGGCCUCCCUUUCUAGUUAUCUGACAGGGAUCAGUUUUCAAGCUGUAGCUGUGGUCCUCAGAGAGACCUCUGCCCAUAUACAGCAGCAGUCUUUCUCAUCCCAGCCCUGGGAGUUCUAGCAAAGACUUGACUUUCUGAGUUGUUCAGGGUCAGAGACCAUGUAUCAAGCCUCGGCUCUAUUUCUUGAGUAAAAUGGGCAUCUGGCACAUCUACUUAGAUCGCAGAAAUAGUCAGAAUGAAGUGAAGAUGUAUGAGGAGUCGUGUGGAGAAAUAGGCUCUCUGAAAGGAGGCUUCCUCUUCACUUUAUAAGCUGUAGUGUCAUCCCUUCCCAAGUGGCUCUGAAACUGUGUUAGAAGACAUGGCCUCCCCAGAGCUUGGGGAAACCUUAAAUAAGGCUGCUGCUCAGAUGUCAGCACAUUUUACGCUUUACUGGAAGACUUCUGCUUCCUCAUCCUAUUUCUCCAAAUACAUUCUUUCCUUGAAAUAUAUUUCAAUUGACUCAUGUUGAAAAUCACCACAGUUAAUGCUACAGACACCCAGGCUGAGAUAGGCGCUGUGUCUGCAGCAGUCUGGCCUGGAGACUUCCAGGCAGCUCUUCAGUCAUCUCAUUGACAUGGUUGGCUGCCAUUUUGGAUGAUCCAUCAACUUCUGGGUUACUGAAAAAAAACAGCUCUAUUACAAAUGGUGAUAUUUAUGAUUUGCACCAAUGGAUUUAGAUAAAAUAUUAUGAUAGAAUACCCUACUUCACAUGUUAUGCUGGCUGCUACAAAAUUCUAUACAUGAUAUUGUUGUAAAUCAAGUCAUUUAUGUGACUCAGAGGUGAGAGUUUAAAAAAAACAACACUUUUCUAAUCUUUUUGUGCAGGAAGAAAAUUCCUUCUGCAAAGGCAGUGGUCACUUAGCAACUGAUUUUCUCACCCUAUACAGAAAAAACCCCAAGCAUUUAUGGAUUCAAAAGAAAGUGAUGCUGCUGUCUAAGUCAAGCUGCUCAUUAACCUCAGGACCUUCAACACACUCAAGAGGAUUCACUGUGGCAUGCGCAGGCUUUGGACCCACUCUCUCUGGGUUUAGUCCUCCAUUUUUGUUUUGUCAGCAAAAUGUCACCUUCUUAGGCUUUAUUCUUUCUUUUUCAAAACUGCAUUAACACAUGGCAAACAUAAACCCCUGACCCCUUCUAAUUUCAAUACAGUAAGUGAUAAAGACUGUGAUAAAGACUGUGAUAAAGACCGUGAAACAAGAACAGAAGCAAAUACUUUCCCGAGACAUGGUGCUGUUGGUUUAUUAUUACAUUUUGCCUUUAUGAGCACUUUCCUUCAAAUAAAGUCCAACCUUUUUAUGUA
rnacentral:sRNA from 1 species